UCUCAUGGCGGGCGAUGUGAGGGGAUCCCUGAUCCGCCGGGCCGUUUUUGCUUGAUUCUCCGGUAUGCCAACCCGCAUCGCCCGCCACCCCG
rnacentral:antisense_RNA from 1 species